rnacentral:rRNA from 1 species
UACGAAGGGGGCUAGCGUUGUUCGGAAUCACUGGGCGUAAAGCGCACGUAGGCGGAUCCUUAAGUCAGGGGUGAAAUGCCGAGGCUCAACCUCGGAACUGCCUUUGAUACUGGGGAUCUCGAGUCCGGGAGAGGUGAGUGGAAUUGCGAGUGUAGAGGUGAAAUUCGUAGAUAUUCGCAAGAACACCAGUGGCGAAGGCGGCUCUCUGGUACGUAACUGACGCUGAGACGCGAAAGCGUGGGGAGCAAACAGG